rnacentral:misc_RNA from 1 species
GAUGAAGAACGCAGCGAAAUGCGAUAAGUAGUGUGAAUUGCAGAAUUCAGUGAAUCAUCGAAUCUUUGAACGCACAUUGCGCCCCUUGGUAUUCCAUGGGGCAUGCCUGUUCGAGCGUCAUUUGUACCUUCAAGCUCUGCUUGGUGUUGGGUGUUUGUCUCGCCUCUGCGUGUAGACUCGCCUCAAAACAAUUGGCAGCCGGCGUAUUGAUUUCGGAGCGCAGUACAUCUCGCGCUUUGCACUCAUAACGACGACGUCCAAAAGUACAUUUUUACACUCUUGGCCUCGGAUCAGGUAGGGAUACCCGCUGAACUUAAGCAUAUCAAUAAGCGGAGGA